UACAGAGGGUGCGAGCGUUGUCCGGAAUCACUGGGCGUAAAGGGCGCGUAGGUGGCGCCGCAAGUCCAUGGUGAAAGCUCGAUGCUCAACAUCGAGUCGGCCACGGAGACUGCGGGGCUCGAGCACUGUAGGGCAGAUGGAAUUCCGGGUGUAGCGGUGGAAUGCGUAGAGAUCCGGAAGAACACCGGUGGCGAAGGCGGUCUGCUGGGCCGUUGCUGACGCUGAGGCGCGACAGCGUGGGGAGCAAACAGG
rnacentral:rRNA from 1 species